ensembl:misc_RNA
GUGACAGAUCUGAAGAAUGAAGCCCUCUAUUUAUCUUCUGAAUGGAUGGAGCAUGAGUAGCAGCGAAGACUUUCUCAUGCUCUUUUGCCAGUGUGCCACAAUCUUUUUACCAUGUUCUGAGCAUAUUUUUACCAGUGAGAGGUGCUUAUUCAUUCCAUAGUUUCCCUAAUGGACUACC